rfam:Bombyx mori DNA, contig: Bm_scaf12_contig9616, strain: p50T/Dazao, build 2, whole genome shotgun sequence.
GACGUAUCUGGGCCUGGUAACUCCACCACCGUUGGCGUUAUCAAUCCGCCAACGGGGUAAGAGUUCCCUUUCCUAGACGCGGG